CUCUCCCUUUCAGAGCCAGAGAGAGAACCUUUCUCAUUCCCCAGGGUCAACAUAGACUUGGAGAGGAGCACACAAACUGACUCCAGUGCAGCCAGGGGGCAGAGGACACAGAUGUGUUGGAAAACUGAUCUGGAUAUAGUUAAAGCAGAUAGAAGAGGAGACAUAUGGAUCAGAGAGGACCGCAGAAACUGAACUGAGUGCAGCCGGAGAGAUUGAGGUGGAUGAGCUUGUGGCAGCCCUUCCCUUUGGCCAGGAACAGCAGCUGUAUCCCAUUAUAUCAGACACUGUCAACAUGCAAUCCUCCACUCCCAUUUUCCAGUAAAACCUCCACUCCACCCACUGCUUCGCUCCAGCUAUCACCAGCGAGAGGCAGCCCCAGCUGGGCUGAGGAUGCGUGUGACCUCCCCUCUCCUCCUGGCUCUCCUAGUACUCCUGCUGCUCCCAUCACCCUCCCAGCUGAGGAAGGCAGGCCAGGGCAGGCGGCUCAAAGUAGGCAGACGCCUCCUCAGACGGGACAGGGUGAGAGGUCAGGGGCGCCAGGGCAGGUCAGGAGACUCCAGGCAUCAGGUCCCUGAAUGCUCAGAGUACAGCGACUCUGAAGACCUCUUCGUGGACUGCCAAGGGAGAAAACUUUCCUCCAUCCCCAUUGCCUUAUCCUGGUCACGGGCUCCAGACCACCUCCUGCUGGCCCGUAACCGUAUCCGGGUCCUCCACGACGGGGCCUUCUCUGGCUUCGAGGGCCUGAGGAGCCUGGACCUGCAGCAGAACCGGAUCUCAGUGUUGGAGGAGGGGGUGUUCCUGGGCCUGAUACACCUCACCACCCUUCUGCUGCAGCACAACCGUCUGGGCACGCUCAGCGAGGAGGCUCUCAUCCCCAUGCCAGCCCUGCGCUACCUGCGUCUCCAUGACAACCCCUGGAGCUGCCGCUGCACACUCGACAGUCUGGUUCGCACCCUGCAGGUGCCCAGCAACCGUAACCUGGGGAACCAUGCCAGGUGUGCGGAGCCAGUUGGGCUGAGGGGCAGGAAGCUGAGACAGGUGGACCCAGAGCUGCUGUGUCUGGAGCUGGAGCCUCCCAGCGACCCCCCAGACCCACAGGGGGAGGACCAGAGGGACUCCACAUACCCUCUGCAGCCCAUCCCCAUCAGGGGCAAGCCUGACGCCACCACCUCCUGCCAUACCUACCUGUUCCCCACACCCCGACUGGACUGCAGAAGCAGAGAUCUGGCGGAGGUACCUGCAGACAUCCCAGGGGACAUGGUUCACAUGGACCUGUCCCAAAAUUCCCUCCGGCGCCUGAAGGCCAGAGACUUUGUGGAGGCCAGAAGCCUAAGGUCACUCAAUCUCAGCGACAACAACUUGGAGGACAUGGACACAGCCUCCCUGUCUGGCCUUCUCCACCUCCAUGAGUUGGACCUUUCCAACAACAACCUGCACUUCUUCCACUAUGGUGUUCUAGAAGACCUCUAUUUCCUGUCCCUGCUAAGGUUGGGGGGAAACCCCUGGGUCUGUGACUACAGCAUUCACUACCUGGUGUACUGGCUACGUCUGCACCCAGGGGUGACCCACUCUGGCCUGCUGUGCCACUCCCCUCCUGAGCUCAGAGGAAAGAGUGUGGAGGACUAUGUUCACUCCUACAACAGAGCCUGCAGCCAGACAGAGCACAGUCAGACAGAAUACGGCCAGACAGAUCCAGAAUUGUGGGUCACAUCUAUGGAGCUGCAGGAGGAGAUGGAACCGGCACAUCUGAGAGGACCGCAGAAAUACCACGUCACCAGGUUGAAUUAACAAACUACCCCAGGAUGGAAUGACUGACACAUUGAACACAUUGCCUUUUUAUAGAGCAUUCAAAUUAAUUCUGUAUUAGAUGGUAAACUUGAACUUUGUUCAAUAUUGUCGAUCCUGCUUUGUCCCAAAAAACAAGAAAUAACAAUCCAAGUAGAUAUAUUGGAUUUAGCAUAUGUGAGAAUCCAGAAUAUAAAUGUGGUGUGUAUAGACCGUAUAUAAUUUGGGAAAGAAAAAAGGUAUAUUAGGAUGAGCUAUAUCUAGAAUACAAUAUAUACAUACACAGUGAGUAAACAACAGUAUAUAAAACAGAAUAUGAGGUGACCAGCAUUCAAUACAUAUUUUUGGGGCGGCAGGUAGCCUAGUGGUUAGAGCUUUGGGCCAGUAACCCGAAAGGUUGCUGGAUCGAAUUGACAAGGUAAAAAUCUGUCGUUCUGCCCCUGUUCCUUGGCAGUUAACCCACUGUUCCUUGGUAGGCCGUCAUUGUAAAUAAGAAUUUGUUCUUAACCGACUUGCCUAGUUAACUAAAAAUGGCUCUAUUUAAAAUGGGGCAUUAGUCUGUAGGCCUUGAUUUACUGCAGGUCUACUCAAACUUUUCACCCAUACUGUUUAUGCCAUUUGCACUCCCAUUGUGAGUCAAUCUGAAUCCAUUUCAUUUUGAGAGCACACAGCAGAACAAUCUCUGCCCACAUUCCUCUUGCUAUUUCCCACAAUUAUAUUAAGAUUUUGCCUUUAAAAAAAUACUGAACAAACUGUCAAAGCAUUUAGGAGCCCUGCUCCUUUCCCAAACAUAGUCAUGGCCCAGGAAUAUUUAUUUGGCAAGAUGUUUGAUUUUUUUUAAAAAGCAUAGUAAUCUCUGCCAAGAAAUACGCCUUGGUGCCAUAGCUACUCUGUAACUGCUAGAUUCCUACAGAAUGGUCCCAGAGACAAAACAGUCCUGUAUAAUACUAUUAUAGGUACGCAUUUAUUUUAUAUGACCCAUUUCCUAGCAUACCCCCACACUAAACAUGAACCACUGCUGAUUAGUUUCCCUGUGGUUACAACACCCCUGGCCCUACAAAUCAAAAACAAGGUCACUAAAAAUGUCCUUUGCUAGCAGACAUAAAACAUACAGGGGUACUUGUUAUUAUGGGGUAACUGCUUUCAGAAAUGGGUCCAGUGACACUAUCAUCCAGAGAACGAGAGCCAUUCCAUCCACAUAAACCCAAUUCAAAAUAAAAUAAAAUAAAGUGCGCGAACGCUGGAAAUAGAAUGCAUAUAGUGUGUGAUGACGGCCCAUGUACAAUUAGCACAAGAUGCUGCGCGGUGAAACACCACUUCCCAUUCAUUUCAAUGGGGGGGAAAGCGGUGAGAACCGGAGAGGUCGUGGGUCCUUUGGGCGGUGCAAAGGUGGCGUGGGAGGCGGUGAAAAAUAACUUUUUCCCAAAUGUAUGGAAAGUCAGCAGCGGUGACCAAUCAUAUCGAGUGGCUCCCAUGACGAAUUUGACACUGUGCGACCCAAGGCUGGAGACUUUCUUUAGCAAAGACGGCUGACAAAAAUACUAGGAUGGAAGCAAAUGGCACUAAAACUCCUCUCAGCCUCUACAGAGGAGGAAGGGACGACCAGCAGAAGCCUUAAUAAAGCUUCCACUUGACUGAA